ACUUUUAUUGGACAGCAGCCG
rnacentral:tRNA from 1 species